rnacentral:rRNA from 1 species
UUAACAUGCCGUCGAGCGGUCCGGCACUAACGUAGUUGAGUGGCGGAUAGCGGCGGCCGGGUGAGUAACGCGUGGGCAACCUACCCUUAAGACCGGGAUAGCACCUCGAAAGGGGUGGUAAUACUGGAUAAGCUCCUUAUAGGGCAUCCUAUAGGGAGGAAAGGGAAGCGCAAGCUACCGCUUAAGGAUGGGCCCGCGUCCCAUCAGCUAGUUGGUAGGGUAACGGCCUACCAAGGCGACGACGGGUAGCCGGCCUGAGAGGGUGGUCGGCCACACUGGGACUGAGACACGGCCCAGACUCCUACGGGAGGCAGCAGUGGGGAAUCUUGGGCAAUGGGCGGAAGCCUGACCCAGCGACGCCGCGUGGGGGAGGAAGGCCUUCGGGUUGUAAACCCCGUUAGUGUGGGAAGAAGGGAUGACGGUACCACACGAAAGCCCCCGGCUAACUACGUGCCAGCAGCCGCGGUAAGACGUAGGGGGCGAGCGUUGUCCGGAAUUACUGGGCGUAAAGGGCCGCGGUAGGCGGUCCANUCAANGUCAGGUGUAAAANACCCCGGGCUCANCCCNGUGGUUAGCAUCUGANACUGAAUUGGCNANNAGGGCAGNANAGGGGANUGGAAUUUCCCGUUUANCCG